GACAACGGUUAGGACAUUUGUAAGAGAUAACAACACUCUUUGGAUAUACAUAAUUUAAAUAAACUACAAAGUGGUAAAGUGUUUCCGAGAACAUGAAAUUCUUGAAAUGAAUUUUUAAAUUUAAAGUGAAUCAACUUAAUAUUGUGGUUCAGUUUAAGUGUAAACUUGUAAAAUAAUAUAUAAAAAUACUCAAUGAGGUGGCUACCUACAUUUUUGUCUAUACGCUGUUGGGGCAGAUUUGGCUGCAACUAAAAUAAGGU